GAUCAUGACCUGAACCGAAACCAAAAGUUGGACACUUAACUGACUGAGCCAUCAGGGUGCUCCACAUAUAUUUGUUGAUAAGUAAAAAACUCACGUUACCAUCUCUGUAUAAAAUGGUCUCCUAUCUUGUUUAGAAAUAGGUAUAUAAGUUUAAAAUCCAGAUGGCCAUAAAGCUAAAUGUUAACAGUAGUUACUUCAGAGGGUAUUAUAGUUAUAUAUUUCUUUUUUGCUUAUAUUCAUUUUAUGGCUCAUUUACAACUGACCUGUAUUAGUUAGCUAAUCAAAGGUGGUAAUAUAGUUAUUGUUUUGGAAGAGCAUUUUUUUCUUUAAAUGUUGAAUAUUUCUCUUCCAAGGCUACAUUCCUAAAAGAAAAAAAACAUUUUAGCAUCUUGUGUGCAGCUUUUUCACUAUGCUGAGUACAUUAUAUUGAAACUUUCUAUUAAGUGUCUUUCUCCUCCAAGACUGUGAACACGGAUGACAAAGACUGAGUCUCUAGCGUCCUUGUAUGUAGGCCUAGCAUGGAGCUUGGCACUCAGCGUGCAGUUAACACAAGUGUUUUAAAUGGAUAAACGAAUAGAUGACUGUCUACAGACUUUUUUUAUCCAUGAGUGGUUUAAAGUUCUUAGCAUGCUGGAAUUGAUUGCAAUUGCAUAUAAGUAGUGUGCCUGAUGAGAGAACUAUGGAGGGCAAAGUUCUGUCUGACAUGUUGGUUUAGAGGCAGUUUCUACUCUGGUAAUAAAUUGUUCUGUGAGGUGUGGGCUAGGGUUGAAUGUGUGUAAGGAGGUCAGGCUGUAGAGGCCUCUAAAGGCUCAGAGGAAGUGUGCUUCCCAGGAGCAACCACCCUCUACUCCCAUGAGGAAUCCUAGGCUAUUGUGCCCAAGUGGGAGUUAAUAGGCAGUGGAAACUGGGUUUCCAGGUCCUGGUUUGUUUGUUUUAUUAUACUAGUUGUAACUUUAGGUUUUAUCUCAUUAGGCAACAGAGUUUUGAGAGAUUUGAAGUAUUGCUAACUAGUGCUUACUCUGUUUCAGCAUUAUGCUAAGAAGCAUUUGCAAACAUUCUUUCAUCCAGUCGUAUUGCUUCCUUAUGAGGGAGGUACCCACUCUACAGAGUAAGAGACUGAAACUGCAAAAGGUUAAGCUACUUGUCUUUUCAGAUACGAAGUUCAGACGCAAAGAGGUAGAGCUGGACUCCAGACAUGGGGCCCUGAACCCAGAGCCAGGCCCUCCUGCCAUGUUAUAAAGAAGCUGGAGGAUUGGGAUUUUCUCUUGCUCUAACACACUUCAGUGUGACUCUGACUGUGGAGAUGUCCCUGGGCCUUUUUGAAUGCCUCCAGUUCUCCUUGUUAGAUUCUAUUUGAGAAUGGGUCUCCACUUUCUGUGGGUCAGGUAAUUUCUUUCUUGCUCUUGGGUCUAAGUGAAGUCACCAGAAAACUUAUUUUAUAGCAAAAAAAUGUUAGGAGAAUAAAAAAUAUUUUUAAUAAAGUAAUUCAUGUAAUAACAUGCGAUAAAGUUCAAGAAGGUAGUUUGCAUACUUAAAGGUAAACCCUAGCUUUAAUUUGGCUUAUAAUUUAAUUAUAAAUUAAUUUUAAUUCAUAAAGUCAUGAGAGAAUUCAUGGAAGAUUCAUUGAAUAUAUAUGGUUUGUUUCUUGAGAUAUCCCAUUUUCUGUAUUUCUAAAUGUUGACAGUAUACAAAAAUAAGUUAUAAUCUGUAAAAUUGAGGAAAUAUUUCCGGUAUGGAGUAGUAUAGUAAUGAAAUAUGAACAUUUGUUUAGAAAUCUUCUUGACUGCUGUACAGUUGGAAUUUGCAUAGUAAUAUGGAAGGAUCUUGAAAAACAUCUGGGGAAGGGUCAUGAUUUGGUCCAAAUUAUAUAUCCAAGAGGUUUCAAAAUCAUAAAAUGAUAUAAAAGUACUCUGGAUUUUUCUUACUACCCCAGCCCCAAAUGGGUUGUAUCUUAAUUGUAACAGUUUGUGACUUACUUUUAUUUGUGUGAUUAUCUGAUCGAUAUGUGUCUCUGCCACUAGCCUUUGAGCUUCAUGGGAGCAGGAUAGCCACAUCUGUCUUGCUUGUCAUUGUAGAUACUUAGCACAUAAUAGCAUGGUGUAGCAUGUAGUGAUAAUGGCAACAACAACAAUGAAUGAGAAUGAUAGCUGAUACUUACAGAGCCCUUACUGUGGUCUAGGUAGUGUUCUAGGUGCUUAAUACUAACUCAUGUAUUGGAACUUCUGGCAAACAUUGGUUGAAUGAUUUUGAUAUAAAUGGAAAAGAACUUUGAGUUUAUACAUCUGGGAACUAUUUAGUGUUGUGGAGGUUUGGGAGACUGUCUUUCACAAUGAGAACUGGAGGACCUUGGACUCAACGUGAUUCAGCAGAAUGUAGCUUUUUUUUUUUUCAUUCCUGACAAAUAUUUAAGUUUUCAUGUUUUCACAUUCUUUUUUAUUUGCUAUUUUAAUAUCCCCAUAGCAGAUAUUUAAGAUACAAGAGAAAGGCUAGACACCAUGUAACUACUUAAGGAAAUAGAAUGGCAAUAUGAUUAAAAUUGGGCUUUAAUUUUAAUGAAGUCUUUGACUAGCAACUAUGAACAUCAAUAGUGGGAGGGGAGGAUCGUCUUUCCAGAAAGUUUCAAGCUGACAUCUGUGUUGCUACUGCAGUAACCUCCACUUAAUUUAUUGUCAUUUACUGCAAAAAUUGAUGAGAACAUAACCUUUGUAAGGUUUUUAUGUUUUAUUGGCUAUAAAAGAUAAAAUAUGGAGUAAAAGGAAGUAAAAUAGUAUUUUGUUAGGUUGGGGGAUGGAUUUAUGUUUUAACUAACUGAUAGAAUAAUCAGAGGGUCAUAAAGAUCAGAGUCUCUGCCUCCUAUCUCUUCCCUUUUUUAUGUGUGCAUUCAACAAGCUUCUCUUUGUGGCUGUCAGGCUCAUGGGAGCUCACCCAAACACCAGGCCCCCUUUGUCCAAGGGCAUUAACUCAGCUGUGUAGAUGAAGAGUAUCACGGAGGCUUCUGUUGCAAACAUUAAGCAAUUGGGAUAAGUCUAAAUGAAUCAGAUACUUGACAUGUGCAAAUGGGAUAUUUGUUCACAGGGGACUCCGGGCUACAUUGUGUCUUGAAUGAACAGGCAAAAACAAAGUGUGUGAGUUAAAUUGAAUUUUGCAGGAAACACACAAAGAGAUCCGGAUCUUUGGGAAUUGCUGGUGAUUGUGGUUUAGGGGUGGAUGCUGGGAGGGCCCAACCCCAUCAAUUUCCCAAUAUACUCUCUCCUGCCAAAAUCAAACAAAAUACAACAAACAAACAAAAAAAGGAAGGAAGGAAGAAAAAAAAGAAAGAAAGAAAGAAGAAAAGAAAAGAAAAGAAAAGAAAAGAAAAGAAAAGAAAAGAAAAGAAAAGAAAAGAAAAAGAAUAGAAAAGAAAAAAGAUAGCAAACAAAUUUCAAAGUGAUUCUAUUUUGUUGUCUAGGACAGUAGUUCUCAAACUGUAGCCCACACAUCAGAAUCACCUGGAGCACUUGUUAAAACCCAGAUUUCUGGAUGCCACACCCAGAGUUUCUCACUGAGGAGGUCUGGAGUGGGGCUUGAGAAUUUGCAUCUCUAACAAGCUCCCAGGUGAUGCUGAUAAUGCUUAAAGACCACAUUUAAGAACCACUGCUUUAGGCACUCAGUUGUCUAUGCUGUAGCUAGGUGGAUGUGCUUCAAGGAGCUGUAACAGUCCAAGGAAGAUAUUUUCUCACCUCAGAAGUGGAUGGCCAGGCCUUUGCUGAAAAGGUUUCUCGUGGCUUAAUAGUUGAGCAGCUGACACCCAUGUAAUAGGAGGAGUGGACCAAAGAACAAUUCCUCUAUAUCCAGCUUUGAAGAAGCAAAAUUCCAUGGAGUCCUACAACUGCAAGCAUAUGACUUGUGCCAACAAGCUGACUUAGUCUGAAGGUGGAUCCUUUCCCACCUGAGCUUCCAGAUGAGAAUCCAGCCUAUGAUCAUAGCCUUGCCGGGGACCUAGCUAAGCUGUGCCUAGAUUCCUGACUCAAAGAAUCUGUGAGAUGAUAAGAUAUACACCCAGAAGUCAACUGGAAGAUGCCGUAGUAUGCUAACUUCCCUGGAUUAGCUGACAUAGAUACUGAAUGUUGACUUGUCCCAAGGAAGAAAAAGAAUAAAGAAUAGAUAUAAAGUCUA